rnacentral:rRNA from 1 species
CGUACACGGUGGAUGCCCUGGCAGUCAGAGGCGAUGAAGGACGUGCUAAUCUGCGAUAAGCGUCGGUAAGGUGAUAUGAACCGUUAUAACCGGCGAUUUCCGAAUGGGGAAACCCAGUGUGAUUCGUCACACUAUCAUUAACUGAAUCCAUAGGUUAAUGAGGCGAACCGGGGGAACUGAAACAUCUAAGUACCCCGAGGAAAAGAAAUCAACCGAGAUUCCCCCAGUAGCGGCGAGCGAACGGGGAGCAGCCCAGAGCCUGAAUCAGUGUGUGUGUUAGUGGAAGCGUCUGGAAAGGCGUGCGAUACAGGGUGACAGCCCCGUACACAAAAAUGCACAUACUGUGAGCUCGAUGAGUAGGGCGGGACACGUGGUAUCCUGUCUGAAUAUGGGGGGACCAUCCUCCAAGGCUAAAUACUCCUGACUGACCGAUAGUGAACCAGUACCGUGAGGGAAAGGCGAAAAGAACCCCGGCGAGGGGAGUGAAAAAGAACCUGAAACCGUGUACGUACAAGCAGUGGGAGCACGCUUAGGCGUGUGACUGCGUACCUUUUGUAUAAUGGGUCAGCGACUUAUAUUCUGUAGCAAGGUUAACCGAAUAGGGGAGCCGAAGGGAAACCGAGUCUUAACUGGGCGUUAAGUUGCAGGGUAUAGACCCGAAACCCGGUGAUCUAGCCAUGGGCAGGUUGAAGGUUGGGUAACACUAACUGGAGGACCGAACCGACUAAUGUUGAAAAAUUAGCGGAUGACUUGUGGCUGGGGGUGAAAGGCCAAUCAAACCGGGAGAUAGCUGGUUCUCCCCGAAAGCUAUUUAGGUAGCGCCUCGUGAAUUCAUCUCCGGGGGUAGAGCACUGUUUCGGCAAGGGGGUCAUCCCGACUUACCAACCCGAUGCAAACUGCGAAUACCGGAGAAUGUUAUUACGGGAGACACACGGCGGGUGCUAACGUCCGUCGUGAAGAGGGAAACAACCCAGACCGCCAGCUAAGGUCCCAAAGUCAUGGUUAAGUGGGAAACGAUGUGGGAAGGCCCAGACAGCCAGGAUGUUGGCUUAGAAGCAGCCAUCAUUUAAAGAAAGCGUAAUAGCUCACUGGUCGAGUCGGCCUGCGCGGAAGAUGUAACGGGGCUAAACCAUGCACCGAAGCUGCGGCAGCGACGCUUAUGCGUUGUUGGGUAGGGGAGCGUUCUGUAAGCCUGUGAAGGUGUGCUGUGAGGUAUGCUGGAGGUAUCAGAAGUGCGAAUGCUGACAUAAGUAACGAUAAAGCGGGUGAAAAGCCCGCUCGCCGGAAGACCAAGGGUUCCUGUCCAACGUUAAUCGGGGCAGGGUGAGUCGACCCCUAAGGCGAGGCCGAAAGGCGUAGUCGAUGGGAAACAGGUUAAUAUUCCUGUACUUGGUGUUACUGCGAAGGGGGGACGGAGAAGGCUAUGUUGGCCGGGCGACGGUUGUCCCGGUUUAAGCGUGUAGGCUGGUUUUCCAGGCAAAUCCGGAAAAUCAAGGCCGAGGCGUGAUGACGAGGCACUACGGUGCUGAAGCAACAAAUGCCCUGCUUCCAGGAAAAGCCUCUAAGCAUCAGGUAACAUCAAAUCGUACCCCAAACCGACACAGGUGGUCAGGUAGAGAAUACCAAGGCGCUUGAGAGAACUCGGGUGAAGGAACUAGGCAAAAUGGUGCCGUAACUUCGGGAGAAGGCACGCUGAUACGUAGGUGAAGCGACUUGCUCGUGGAGCUGAAAUCAGUCGAAGAUACCAGCUGGCUGCAACUGUUUAUUAAAAACACAGCACUGUGCAAACACGAAAGUGGACGUAUACGGUGUGACGCCUGCCCGGUGCCGGAAGGUUAAUUGAUGGGGUUAGCGCAAGCGAAGCUCUUGAUCGAAGCCCCGGUAAACGGCGGCCGUAACUAUAACGGUCCUAAGGUAGCGAAAUUCCUUGUCGGGUAAGUUCCGACCUGCACGAAUGGCGUAAUGAUGGCCAGGCUGUCUCCACCCGAGACUCAGUGAAAUUGAACUCGCUGUGAAGAUGCAGUGUACCCGCGGCAAGACGGAAAGACCCCGUGAACCUUUACUAUAGCUUGACACUGAACAUUGAGCCUUGAUGUGUAGGAUAGGUGGGAGGCUUUGAAGUGUGGACGCCAGUCUGCAUGGAGCCGACCUUGAAAUACCACCCUUUAAUGUUUGAUGUUCUAACGUGGACCCGUGAUCCGGGUUGCGGACAGUGUCUGGUGGGUAGUUUGACUGGGGCGGUCUCCUCCUAAAGAGUAACGGAGGAGCACGAAGGUUGGCUAAUCCUGGUCGGACAUCAGGAGGUUAGUGCAAUGGCAUAAGCCAGCUUGACUGCGAGCGUGACGGCGCGAGCAGGUGCGAAAGCAGGUCAUAGUGAUCCGGUGGUUCUGAAUGGAAGGGCCAUCGCUCAACGGAUAAAAGGUACUCCGGGGAUAACAGGCUGAUACCGCCCAAGAGUUCAUAUCGACGGCGGUGUUUGGCACCUCGAUGUCGGCUCAUCACAUCCUGGGGCUGAAGUAGGUCCCAAGGGUAUGGCUGUUCGCCAUUUAAAGUGGUACGCGAGCUGGGUUUAGAACGUCGUGAGACAGUUCGGUCCCUAUCUGCCGUGGGCGCUGGAGAACUGAGGGGGGCUGCUC